UGGGGAAUUUUGCACAAUGGGGGAAACCCUGAUGCAGCGACGCCGCGUGAUUUAGAAGGCCUUCGGGUUGUAAAAAUCUUUUCUAUGGGAAGAAAAUGACAGUACCAAAGGAAUAAGGACCGGCUAAUUACGUGCCAGCAGCCGCGGUAAUACGUAAGGUCCGAGCGUUGUCCGGAAUCAUUGGGCGUAAAGGGUACGUAGGCGGGUAAGCAAGUUAGAAGUGAAAUCCUAUAGCUCAACUAUAGUAAGCUUUUAAAACUGCUCAUCUUGAGGUAUGGAAGGGAAAGUGGAAUUCCUAGUGUAGCGGUGAAAUGCGCAGAUAUUAGGAGGAAUACCGGUGGCGAAGGCGACUUUCUGGCCAUAACCUGACGCUGAGGUACGAAAGCGUGGGUAGCAAACAGG
rnacentral:rRNA from 1 species